UGGGGAAUCUUGGACAAUGGGGGCAACCCUGAUCCAGCCAUGCCGCGUGAGUGAUGAAGGCCUUAGGGUCGUAAAGCUCUUUCGCCUGUGAAGAUAAUGACGGUAGCAGGUAAAGAAACCCCGGCUAACUCCGUGCCAGCAGCCGCGGUAAUACGGAGGGGGUUAGCGUUGUUCGGAAUUACUGGGCGUAAAGCGCACGUAGGCGGACCAGAAAGUUGGGGGUGAAAUCCCGGGGGCUCAACCCCGGAACUGCCUCCAAAACUAUUGGUCUAGAGUUCGAGAGAGGUGAGUGGAAUUCCAAGUGUAGAGGUGAAAUUCGUAGAUAUUUGGAGGAACACCAGUGGCGAAGGCGGCUCACUGGCUCGAUACUGACGCUGAGGUGCGAAAGUGUGGGGAGCAAACAGGAUUAGAUACCCUGGGUAGUCCACACCGUAAAACGAUGAAUGCCAGUCGUCGGGUAGCAUGCUAUUCGGUGACACA
rnacentral:rRNA from 1 species